UUAUCUUAGCUGUAGAGAGUAACAGUUUUACUGUGAAAACUUAUGUCAAUGUUGGAAGUCCUUUUGUUGAAAGUACCAGCACUGAGUCUAGUGUCUGCAUCUGUUGCAGGCUCUGGAGAUGGAACCUUGCAUGCAUGGAGCAUCAGCAGAUGCAAUGAGGUGGCAUCUAGGAACACCUCUAUUGGUGUGGCGGCUUGCUUGAAGUGGGCCCCUCAUCGGGCUAUGUUUGUCACCGCAUCUGUUUGGGUGAAAAGAUGAUAGUAAGAGGCAUAACAUUGUUGUCAUCCAGAAAUCGUCAUCAUCCUCCAUGGCAUGACCCAUCCACCUCCACAUGGCAUAAAUGUAUAUAUGGAGAUUCUUACAUGCAACCUGAACCAUCCAAAUCAUGAGGACUCUUUUAAAUCCUCGAUUUCAAAUCCUCAAAAGGGCCUCUUUUAAAAUUCAAGAGAAAAGG